GGAAUUUAGCUCAGUGGUAGAGCACUUGCCUAGCAAGCACAAGGCCCUGGGUUCGGUUCCCAGCUCCA
rnacentral:tRNA from 1 species